UACGUAGGGGCGAGCGUUGUCCGGAAUGAUUGGGCGUAAAGGGCGCGUAGGCGGCCAUGCAAGUCUGGAGUGGAAGUCCAUUUUUCAAGGGUGGAAUUGCUUUGGAAACUGUGUGGCUGGAGUGCAGGAGAGGUUAUCGGAAUUCCCGGUGUAGCGGUGAAAUGCGUAGAGAUCGGGAGGAACAUCAGUGGCGAAGGCGGGUAACUGGACUGCAACUGACGCUGAGGCGCGAAAGUGUGGGGAGCAAACAGGAUUAGAUACCCGCGUA
rnacentral:rRNA from 1 species